CAGAGGAUUUGUUGUAGGAAAUGGGUCCAAAGAAAGAAGUUAGGAGCAUACUGAAAACUUCAACAGAAUUUUGUCCUAACGCUCAAAAAAAUCAGUCCUUACAAUGGGAUGAGCAGAACCUUUCUGAAUUAGAAGCAAAUAAAGACUAUGGCUCUAUGAAAAUUGUUGAACCAAAGACACCCUACCAUAAGCCAAGCGAUUACCAAGAUAUUGACACUAUAUCAAGUUUUAGCCUGGAUCCCAGUUCAAAAGAGGUGAGCAGAAAUCAAUCAAGCGCGAAAGCCCAAGAAGUUAUUAAUUCAGGACCAGAAAAAGAAAAAGAACAAAAUAACUCUUUUAAGAAGAAAAGAAGAGCGCACUACAACGAAUUUUUAAAAUCAAGACAGC